UGGGGAAUUUUGGACAAUGGGCGCAAGCCUGAUCCAGCCAUGCCGCGUGCAGGAUGAGGGCCUUCGGGUUGUAAACUGCUUUUGUACGGAACGAAAAGACUCUGGUUAAUACCUGGGGUCCAUGACGGUACCGUAAGAAUAAGCACCGGCUAACUACGUGCCAGCAGCCGCGGUAAUACGUAGGGUGCAAGCGGUAAUCGGAAUUACUGGGCGUAAAGCGUGCGCAGGCGGUGAUGUAAGACAGUUGUGAAAUCCCCGGGCUCAACCUGGGAACUGCAUCUGUGACUGCAUCGCUGGAGUGCGGCAGAGGGGGAUGGAAUUCCGCGUGUAGCAGUGAAAUGCGUAGAUAUGCGGAGGAACACCGAUGGCGACGGCAAUCCCCUGGGCCUGCACUGACGCUCAUGCACGAAAGCGUGGGGAGCAAACA
rnacentral:rRNA from 1 species